GACGAACGCUGGCGGCGUGCUUAACACAUGCAAGUCGAACGGAAAGGCCUGCUUUCCCUUGUGGAUUGCGGGUACUCGAGUGGCGAACGGGUGAGUAACACGUGAGUGAUCUGCCCCCAACUUGGGUAUAAGCCUGGGAAACUGGGUCUAAUUCCCGAUAGGACUGCAGGGUGGUGCCUGUGGUGGAAAACGAUUUUCUAGUGGUUGGGGAUGAGCUCGCGGCCUAUCAGCUUGUUGGUGGGGUAAUGGCCUACCAAGGCGGCGACGGGUAGCCGGCCUGAGAGGGUGGACGGCCACAUUGGGACUGGGAUACGGCCCAGACUGCUACGGGAGGCAGCAGUGGGGAAUAAUGCACAAUGGGCGGAAGCCUGAUGCAGCGACGCCGCGUGGGGGAUGACGGCCUUCGGGUUGUAAACUCCUUUCGACCGCGAGGAAGCCACCUGGUUGGAAGGGUGGUGACGGUAGUGGUAGAAGAAGCACCGGCUAACUACGUG
rnacentral:rRNA from 1 species